AACAGAUUUAACAAAACCUGUUAAAGUGACAGCGUGUGUUGUUAGAAAGGGGAAACUAGGGUUACACUACAUGUUGUACUGGAUUGUUCCACCAUUGCUCCGCAACUUUUACGGCAUAAAUUAAAAAAAAAAAAAAAGGAGGAAAAAAAAUAAAUACAUUGGCUCCUAUGAAGUCAGAAGUGGUUUGGGCUGCAUAGUGGAGGGGUGAGAGAUGGCGGCAAGGGGCAAAAUUUACACACUUUGAGACAAAAUGGGAAGCGCCUGCAAAGUAGGAGAGCAGAGGCCCGAGAGUUUAAGUGUCCUCAUUCAUAUCCUGGCUGUCUGUCCGAGCGAUUUUUCGUGGCGGCGCCGAGUUCUCACCUUCUAUUUCCACUUGCUCUUGAUCUCUCUUCUUUGCUGCAUUCUUUUUGUCCCACUGCUGGUGUAAAUAACGCAAAAGUAUAUUUGUCUUUUCUGUUACUAUAAUUUGUUCAGACGGGUAUUCUCUCGUGGGAAGAUAUACCGAUGGUCUUCUGUUUGAUGCUUUACAUACAGAGUCUGCGUGGAAUCUGCUGAAGUUGCUUUUGUUGUAGACUGGUAAUCCUUUCAAAAAAUCCGCCAUCUUCGCCGCCGCCAGCCGGGAGGAGCCGCCCCUCCCCCGCCGCACUGCCUCUGCCUGCCGUCGCUCGCCCGCCCCGCGCGCUCCUAUUGGUCCGCACAGCGCCACGCCCAGCGCCUAUUGGGCGUCGCGGCCGUCAGUCAGCGCGGCGCUGAGGAGUCUGGGAUCCGGUUGAAGCAGGAAAUGCCGCUCGGAAGGCGUAGGAGGAACCCGGAUGUGGCGCCGGCCGCGUGGCACGCUGGGAGCGGUAGUCCGUGCGGAGCUGCCGCACGUCGCGUUUCUC
rnacentral:lncRNA from 1 species